UACGAAGGGGGGCUAGCGUUGCUCGGAAUCACUGGGCGUAAAGCGCACGUAGGCGGCUUUCUAAGUCAGGGGUGAAAUCCUGGAGCUCAACUCCAGAACUGCCUUUGAUACUGGGAAGCUCGAGUCCGGAAGAGGUAAGUGGAACUCCGAGUGUAGAGGUGAAAUUCGUAGAUAUUCGGAAGAACACCAGUGGCGAAGGCGGCUUACUGGUCCGGUACUGACGCUGAGGUGCGAAAGCGUGGGGAGCAAACAGG
rnacentral:rRNA from 1 species